rnacentral:rRNA from 1 species
ACGGGUGAGUAAUGCAUCGGAACGUGUCCAUGUCGUGGGGGAUAGCCCGGCGAAAGCCGGAUUAAUACCGCAUACGCCCGAGAGGGGAAAGUGGGGGACCGCAAGGCCUCACGCGAUUGGGUCGGCCGAUGUCCGAUUAGCUAGUUGGCGGGGUAAAGGCCCACCAAGGCGAUGAUCGGUAGCUGGUCUGAGAGGAUGAUCAGCCACACUGGGACUGAGACACGGCCCAGACUCCUACGGGAGGCAGCAGUGGGGAAUUUUGGACAAUGGGGGCAACCCUGAUCCAGCCAUUCCGCGUGAGUGAAGAAGGCCUUCGGGUUGUAAAGCUCUUUUGUCCGGAACGAAACGGGUUGCGUGAAUAGCGCCGCCUACUGACGGUACCGGAAGAAUAAGCACCGGCUAACUACGUGCCAGCAGCCGCGGUAAUACGUAGGGUGCGAGCGUUAAUCGGAAUUACUGGGCGUAAAGCGUGCGCAGGCGGUUUUGUAAGCCAGAUGUGAAAUCCCCGGGCUUAACCUGGGAAUGGCAUUUGGGACUGCAAGGCUCGAGUGCGGCAGAGGAGACUGGAAUUCCUGGUGUAGCAGUGA